rnacentral:rRNA from 1 species
AGUACGUGAAACUGCUUAGAGGUUAAGCCCGAUGAACCUGAAUAUCCAUUAUGGAAAAUUCAAUACUUAAUAUAAAAAUAUGAAUAAUAUUUUAAUAAAAGUGUGCAAUUUUUCCAUAUAAGGACAUUGUAAUCUGUUAAUGCAAUAUAAAAAAUUUAUUAAAAGAUCCAUUACUUAAGUUUAUUUAAAUUGUUUAUCUUCGGAUAUUCAACAUAAAAUAAAUGUUUUGGAUUUAAUAAAUUAUUGACAGAUAUAAUUAUAUAAUGUGCUCAAAUUCAUAUGAAUUUUACAAUGGUAUUUAAAUCUAAUGAUUUAUUUAUUUAAUUGUUGGCACUUUUAUGAUUAACAAUGCGAUAGAUUCAGGAUACCUUCGGGACCCGUCUUGAAACACGGACCAAGGAGUCUAACAUAUGUGCAAGUCAUUGGGUAUUUUUAAUAAAACCCAAUGGCAUAAAUAACUUAACUUAUUAUAAUGGGAUUAGUUUAUAUUUUGUCAUGAAAUAUUUAUUCAAUCCCGGGGCGUUCUAUACAGUUAUGCAUAAUGAUAUUUAUAUUAUUUAUGUCUCUAACUAGAGCGUACCUUGAGC